CUAUUCUGAAUGCUUGUAAGAUGCAGGGACAGUGUUGACCUCUGUAUUUAUCUCUAUACUACUUUAUGUGUGAAGGGUUUUGUUAGGUAUUAAAAAAAAAAAGUUUAUGUAGCUCUUAAUUCUGCUCUGAAAUUGCAGGAGAUGAGAGGUGCGGAGUCUGGUGUUCUAUUACUAAACUGCAAAGCCCACCAAGCCUGUUUAAAGAUGUCCAGCCUGAGACCCUACCUAUACCUGUAUUGCCCCUGCCAGAGAAGGACCCCGAGUGGCCUGCUUUUGACAUAAUCCCUGGGUCUCCACAAUCAGCUUGGUGCUUCUCCUGUUCUGCUUUGUAAAUGGAUGCCUUCCACCUGAAAGUAAAAUGGCUCUCCUAGUUCCUAAAGACUGUCAAGGUACAGUGAGAUCAUGACUAUCCUAGAAUUCAUAUAGCAAUUCCUGGUAAAAACCUCUCUGUCAAAGCAGGAACCUUCAUUCAUUCCAG
rnacentral:lncRNA from 1 species